CAGCAGCCGCGGGAAUACAGAGGAUGCGAGCGUUAAUCGGAUUUACUGGGCGUAAAGCGCACGUAGGCGGACAUUUAAGUCAGGGGUGAAAUCCCGGGGCUCAACCCCGGAACUGCCUUUGAUACUGGGUGUCUAGAGUAUGGAAGAGGUGAGUGGAAUUCCGAGUGUAGAGGUGAAAUUCGUAGAUAUUCGGAGGAACACCAGUGGCGAAGGCGGCUCACUGGUCCAUUACUGACGCUGAGGUGCGAAAGCGUGGGGAGCAAACAGGAUUAGAUACCCGCGUAGUCCCUGUCUCUUAUAC
rnacentral:rRNA from 1 species